UCAAAUUUGACGGCAGAUCUCUAAUUGCUUCAAUUUUAUAAAAAUAAGGAUCCAAUUGAGAUUUUAAAAAAGAAAGGGACGUAAUUGAGAUUCAGGGCGAAAAUAUGAACCUACCGAGAUAUUAAACCUAAUAUUUAAUGUGAUGGUUAAAAUUUUUAACUUUCUCUAACUUCCAACUACUUCAUUAAUGAUCCCACCAAUAUAUGAAUGCACUUCCACACUCCACCACUUCUAAGGAAAUCAAAUUCCUCUUCUUUUCCUUCUCCCAAUAUAUGAAUGCACCCCACACUCUACCACUUCCACAGAAAUCAAAUUCUUCUUCUUUUCCUUCUUGUUGUCUCCUUUAAAAAUAAAACAACUCAAAACAAAAUCAAUUAACUUUAAUUAAAUUAAUAAUAAUUAAUUUCAUUAAAUAAAACAAAAAUUAAUUUAAUUAUAAAUACAUAAUUUACUUAAAAUACAAUUAUAAU
rnacentral:lncRNA from 1 species